CGUCAGGAAAAAAAAAAAUUCCUCAUGGAGAGGGUUUCCAAGCAUUUAAACAGUCCGCGCGCCGUCCCUGGUGGUGUUUAACGUAGAUUUAAAAGCCCCGUGGCUGCGGCACGUUGCGAACAGGGCUCAGCGGUGUUAGGUUCGCAGCCGGACUCAGAAAUCGCCUCCACCCUAAAUGAUGCUCCGAUUGUCACUUUGCAGUUGUAAGCAGGUGCUUUUCGCCUUAAAACCCUGGUUUUCACGUGAUUUCACGAUUCUGGUGUUAAGGAAACUUCCCUGCCCGACCGUCCAGGAGCCGCUCUGGCGGUGACACUGUUGCACCGCCUUCGGUCCUCCUGCAGCUGCACCCGGAGCUGCCUGCACUGAAUAUGUUCCUCGGCUCCAGCACCAGAGAAUUCAAAAUUUCUCUGAUCUGCAGCAGCACAUCGUGUCAAUCUGUGUUUACGAAUCUGUUUUUUUAAAUUGACCCAUUGAAACAAAAUGUUUAUAAAGCACAGCUGCUACCAUGAGCACAGAAGCUCACCAGAUGAGGAGCAGUAUUUUGAGGAAGUCAUCUUGGGAAGGAAAAGCUUUUGUGAAGCUGGAAUUUAAGCAUUUUUGAAUGAGAAUCUUUUUUCCCAAUAGAAAUUUUAAACUUCAGUAAUGUUGACUGUCUAGUAAAUUCAUCAUCAUAUAGAUCUCAUAUCAUGAACAUCAGACAAUAUCCUAAAUCCAGAGUGAGUUGUGAUAGAAUCAUAGAAGCAUAGACAGUUUGGGUUGGAAGGGACCUGAAAGAUCAUCUGCUUCCUACAUCUGUGGCAUGGUCAGGGACACCUUCCACUAUUCCAGGUUGCUCAGAGCCCCAUCCAACCUGGCCUUGGACACUUCCAGGGAUGGGGUAGCCACAGUUUCUCUGAGCAACCUGUGCCAGGGCCUCCCCACCCUCCCAGGGAAGAAUUUCUUCCUAAUAUCCAAUCUAAACCUCCUCUCUGUCACUUUGAAGCCAUUUCCCUUUGUCCUGUCACUCCAGGCCCUUGGAAAAAGUCCCUCUCCAUCUUUCUUGUGGGUUCCCUUCAGGUCCUGGAAGGCCACCAUUAGGUCACUCCAAAGCUUCUCUUCUCCAGGCUGAACAAUCCCAACUCUCUCAGCCUUUCCUCACAGCAGAGCUGCUCCAUCCCUCUGAUCACCUUGGUGUCCCUCCUCUGGACUCACUCCAACAGCUCCAUGUCCUUGCUGUGCUGGGUCCCCAGAGCUGGAGGCAGCACUGCAGGUGGGUCUCCCUAGAGCAGGGCAGAGGGGCAGAAUCCCUCCCACCACCUGCUGCCCACACUACUUUGGGUGCAGCCCAGGGCACGGGGGGUUUCUGGGUCCAGCCUCUGACCCACCAGCACCCCCAAGUCCUUCUCCCCAGGGCUGCUCUCCAGCUGUUCAUCCCCAGCCUGGGUUGAUACCAGGGUGGUUGAUAUCCUGACCCAGGUGCAGUACCAACACUUGAUCUUGUUAAACCUCAUGAGAUUCCCAUGGGCCACUCUUGGAGCUUGCCCAGGUCCCUGUGGAUGGUUCCAAUCCUUCAUGUGUGUCAACCCCUCAGCUGCAAAAUUGCUGAGGGUGCACUUCGUCUGUGUCGUUAAUGAAGAUAUUAAAUGACACUGGUCUGGUCUCCAUGCAACAACAGCUGGCAAUUAGGAACACAAAAGUGAAAUCAUCAAGGAAUGCAGCCCACUUGUCAUUUGGGAUCCGAUCUUGCUCUCACAAGUACACCAGCCCAGCAGAAACCCAGGCCGAACUGCCUCAGCUUUGUCCUCUCCCGCUUGUCCCCGUGCGUAAUCCGUGCCCGCUGGUGUUGAAGAGAUGCAUAAACCCCACAGAGGGACUGUGCCGUUCCUUUCCCGGCCUGGAAUGCCCGGGAGCUCCCGCGGGAGCCCCGGCACGAACCGGGCCGUGGGCGCGGCGGUGCCGCCACCGCGCGGCCACCCCGAGCUCUGCACCUUCCCAUCCCCAUCCCCAUCCCACCGCCUUUCCCUUGGAGGGCACGUCCCACCCAAUCUUUUGCUCUGCUGCUGCUGCUCGUUAAGGAGAAUCACGUCCGCGUUUUAGGCAUUCCCGUUGCAAAUCGCUACAGCGUUAGGCCAAGCCUUAAUACCCAAACUUGGGAGAUUAAACAGUAACCAUCAGCGUGCUCCAGAAAGAUCUUUGUUGUGGGUAAGAAGCAAAUCCAAAGAAACUGAAAUAAAAAGCUUCUCAGAGAAGCAGAGAAGUUGAACUUAGAAUCAUAGAAUCACGGCAUAUCCUGAGCUGGAAGGGACCCACAAGGAUCGUGGAAGUCCAACUCCUGGCCCUGCACAGGACACCCCAAGAAUCACACCACGUGCCUGAGAGUGGUGUCCAAAUGCUUCUUGAACUCUGUAAAGCUUGGUGCUGUGCCUACUGUCCUGGGGAGCCUGUUCAGUGCCCAACCACCCUCUGGGGGAAGAACCUCUUCCUGAGAUCCAACCUAAACCUACCCUAAUGCAGCUCCAGCUGUUCCCUUGGGUCUGUCACUGGUCACCACAAAAGCAGAGAUCAGGGUCUGCCUAUUUACUGCCCCUUGUGAGGAAGCUGUAGGCUGCAAAGAGGUCUCCUCUCAGAGGGAACUUGAGGAAGCUGGAAAAAUUGAGAGAAAUUUUUGUUUAGGUGUACUGGGUAACAAUGCUGAUUUCAUUCCUCAUCCUUCAGCUGGUUAUGUCCCAUUCACAACUUUGUUCAAGUUCUGAAAACCCUCCUUAUCAGAAAGGUCAAUCUAUUGCUCUUCAGGUAUGCUUGUGGGUCCCCUGUCAGAUGAACCAGAGCUUUUGCUCUAAGAAGUAUUACCAAAUAGUUUGAGGAGCCAAAUGCAGCUGGUCUGCUGACCUUUCUCUCUCUCUCUCCUUCCCUGCUCUGUCCUAAUUCUUCUUGUACUUUCUGCAUGUUACAUUUUGGAAGAGCUCAAACAACAUCCCAGUUUAUUUUUAGAGAAAGCUCAAUAGUAAGAGCAAGCUAUCACCCCAUCAUUUCCACAGAAGGAUAAGCAUUUAAAGACACAGACAUUUUCCCUUUUUUUUUCCUUUUUUUUUUCCCCUUUGCAUCAGCUCCUUUCUUCUUGUCUUUCAGGAUGCAGCAAAACUCAGAGCAGCCUCGGUGUUUUUUCAUACCUAAGUGUAAAUACUUCAGCUUUACUCACCUUACUUUGUAAUCCUAACAGGUCUUGAUUUAAUGUGUCCAUCAAAGGAGCUGCUCACUUGAAGCCCACCUGAGCACUGGCCUCAUGUUCUCCCUGGCAAGUGUCUUCACUAAGACUCCCACAAUUUUCAUUGUUAUCUCCUGGAAGCAUCAGCAGUAACAUCAGCUGCCACACACACUUUUUGGUGUCAAAAUAUUGUGGUACCUGUUCCCCCGAGGCUGCACACAGCUGGAAUGCAAAUCACCUUUGAGAAUCAUUUUAAAUAGAAUCACAAUGCCUUUUAAAUAGAAUCACAAUCUCAGAAUCACAGAGUAAUGUUGGAAGGGACCACAGUGGGGCAUCUGGUCCCACCUCCCUGCUCCAGCAGGGUCAUCCCAACGCACAUGGUACAGGAUUCCAGACAGCUCUGGAAUAUCCCCAGUGAGGGAGACUCCACACCCUCUCUGGGCAAUCUGUUCAGUGCUCGGUCACUGCACAGCAAAGAAGUUCUUCCUCAUGUUCAGCUGGAACUUCCUGGGCAUCAGUUCCUGCCUCUUGUCCCAUUACUGCCCCCCCGUCCCGCCCCCCCGGGCAGAGCCUGGUCCAUCCUCUGCCCCCUCCCUGCAGACACUGACACACAUGGAUGAGGUCCCCUCUCAGUGUCUCCUCUGGAGGCUGAACAGCCCCAGCUCCCUCAGCCUUUCAUCAUAAGAGAUAUCAUCAUUACAUUUAGAAAAGCAAAAGUGUGUUUGGUUUGCUUUUAAUAUUUCAAGUAGGUACAAAGUAAAUGUGGUACACUUAGCUUUCUCCACAGAUCUAAAGGGAUCCCCAAAGAGCUUUUGGAAAUAAACUUUCCCUUAACUGGGAGGAAAGAUUCAGCAAGCUGUGGGGGUGAAGAAGCAGAGCAUAGCCUCUUUCCCUGCCCUUCCAGCUUUGAUUUGCUGGCAGCACAGAGAAGGCUCUACCACAAUUCUCUAAUACCUGAAUGCAACUACUCUGUCUUUAUACCUGCAAGGGGAUGCAGAAAGGUGAGAGAGUGUAUCAGCAACAGAGCUACAAAGCCAUGUGGUUUUCCGGGCUUUUUCUUACCCAUGAAAAGUUAAAAUAGACCUUUUCUACCUGCCUUUCCAUCAACAUUACAUUUACUGAGGUGACUAAUAAUUUACAGUAUGAGGCAUGAACAAGGUGGAGUUGGUAGGAAAAUUACUAAUCUGUUGAAGAGCUCCCACUGUCUUCCAGCAGGGAAAGAAUUUCAUUCUGCUUGUGCUGGUUGCAUGAGAUUUGAUGGGAACUUUGUUUUUAGGGCAGCAUGGAAUAAAGAGCAACUACAUAGUUACUGGACAAAUUAAAAAACACACAGCAAUUGCAAUAGAAGACUUUGAAGACUCCUGGAACAAGCAUUCAGGAUAAGUUCAUUGAAACACAAAGGAAAAUUCCCUGCAUUUCUUGUCCCCACAGAAAAAUUUUGGGAAAUGUAAAAUAAAAAAUAACCUAACUCGUAUUCUGAGAUUGGAAACACCAAGCAA